GACGAACGCUGGCGGCGUGCUUAACACAUGCAAGUCGAACGGUAAGGCCCCUUCUGGGGUCCACGAGUGGCGAACGGGUGAGUAACACGUGAGCAACCUGCCCUUGACUCUGGAAUAACAGUUGGAAACAGCUGCUAAUACUGGAUAUUCAUCGUCUCCUUCCUGGGGGGUGGUGGAAAGCUCCGUCGGUCAGGGAUGGGCUCGCGGCCUAUCAGCUUGUUGGUGAGGUAAUGGCUCACCAAGGCUUCGACGGGUAGCCGGCCUGAGAGGGCGACCGGCCACACUGGGACUGAGAGACGGCCCAGACCCCUACGGGAGGCAGCAGUGGGGAAUAUUGCACAAUGGGCGCAAGCCUGAUGCAGCAACGCCGCGUGCGGGAUGACGGCCUUCGGGUUGUAAACCGCUUUCAGUAGGGACGAAGGGUGACUGACGGUACCGACAGAAGAAGGACCGGCUAACUACGU
rnacentral:rRNA from 1 species